rnacentral:lncRNA from 1 species
CAGAGAAUGAAAUAAAGGAGUACAAUUCAUGGACUUUAUGAUAGCUUUUUUCAGUUGAUGUGAAGAUCUGUGGACUUCCUUCCAGAAGGCAGAAGAUUACUGGCAUACUGCCAAGGCAAAGUCAUUGUACCUACACUAGUUUCUGCAAAUUGGAACAUAAUAAAUUCUCAAUGACCCAUGAUCUGAUUCUUAACAGGGACUAAUAAAGAAUAAGUAAAGAGUACUUUGUUGACAAGUUUUCCCUUACUUUCCUUUUCCACCAUUCUUACAUCUAGUCUGCCCUGUGCACCAAAGCACUUAUUUCUCCAUUGCAGGAGUUGUGAAGCAGAACCACAGGAAGGCAGCUCAACCAGGGGGAUCCUGUUGCUUACCUCCAGUACGUGAGGGGGUGGCAAGGACUCUGGCCCCACGGCAAGAAGACCAACCCUACUGAAGAAUUCUCUACAUAUGGACCAUGAUAUGCAGCUAGAAAUCACCAAGCAGAGAUGUUCCAAGUAUCAAUUUUGUGACAGGAGUAUUUAGAAGAGAAGCAUCAUGAUGCUUGCAUCUUACAUUCAAGUGGUUUGACAAAAACAUCGACAUUAAUUCCUUGAGUUUCUUUUCUACAAAAGCACUGGCUAUUAAUUCUGAAACAACUUUCUGUGUAUUCUAAAAAGGCUCAAAUAAAUACGUUGCAGAUAAAUGAAGCCACUUUUCUCACUGUUGAAGAAGAAAAUUACAGAUAUGAAAACAGACAGGGUCUGCUCUGUUGGCCAGGCUGGAGCGCAGUGUCACAAUGUCUACUCACUGCAGGCUCUACCUCCUGGGCUCAAGCGAUUCUCACACCUCAGCCUCAAGAAUGGCUCAGACUACAGGCAUGUACCUCUGUGCCUGGCUAAGAUUUGUAGUUUUUUGGUAGACACAGGGUCUCACUAUGUUGCCCAGGCUGGUCUUGAACUCUAUAGUGUUUGAUCAUAGAAGUGGAGAUACUAACCAAAAAUCUUUUCAAAUUAAGCCUAAUAAACACAGACAUAAUAAUCUGACUAUAUUCAAACAAAUCGAAUAGUUAGUGUGCAGAUCCUCUUUCUAGAAAACCAAGUGCCAUUUUUUAAAAAAUCAAAGACUUAAUGAGCAAUUCUUUUUGUGCAAAGGUUGAUCAAGGGCUCACUGUAUUUUAUAUGGUUGUGUGGGAAAAUGCAUUACUAGUUUAUUAUGGCUUGGGUCCAUUCUCAAGGUGCCUCGUUUUUGUCCUAGAAAUGGAGUUUCUAUAUCAAUCUGCUUCAUAACCUUGGGGAGUCUUGUGAUGAGUACUGGUGGAAAAGCGUUUAGAUGAAGAUAAAUGAAAGCCUUACUAAGCCAAAUUCAUUUUAUUUAGACAUGCAAGUCACAUGGAAAUAAAUGUUAUUUAGGAGUAAUGUAAGUUGUAAAUCUGUUUUUUCCUUAACAUGAAUUGUAUAUGUUUAGAACUGCCUGGUGUAUAGUCUGGGCCAGGGGCCAGUUUUUCUCGGACUAAGGCUAAAUCCUGUAAAUUCACACUAUAAAUGAACUGACAGAAUACUUACCUACAUAAUAUCCUAAAUUAAAUUUGGCAUCACCAAAUAUCUUCAAAAGAGUGACUGGAGAUUCAACUUAAACUCUGACCUUUGCUCAACUGAACUCUGACACACUGAUCCACUUGGUAAAGGGCCAAAUCAAAGAUUUUUUUCCCAAGUUCUAUUUUGCAUGUGCAUACUUGUGGAAAGCUGACCUAGCCAUAACAUAUGGCAUGUCAUCAACUGAUAGAAGUGACCUGGCAAGUGGAUGUGUCCUCUUUCCAUUGCCAUCACUCUUCUCUUUAGAAUGUCUAGUCAUUGCAGGCUUGGUUGAUGAGAACAACCUUCACAAUGCAGGAAGAUCAUCUUUCCAUUGUGGGUACGUGUGGCCAUGUCAAAUAGCUUAAGGUAGCAGCCUCUUAUUGUCAAUUCUUACCCCUUUGCCACUCUUUCUGAACUGCCAGCUUCCUUCUCAACAGCUGGAUCUUUUUGGCUCUUUUACUUUCACCAUUGUUCUUUUCUUUCACUAGAAACUCCCUCUGCUACCACUGUUCACCCCUGUGCAAAGAAUUUCCAAACCUAGUUCCUAUCUUCUGUCUAUAGCCUUCUUGUGUAUCUUAUCUCUGUAUCUCUCAGGUCAAUAAAACAUCUGAGAAAUAAAUGAAAAUGAUUUGUUGGUUCUAGUUUCUGUUCUGCACAUCCAGCUGCAUCUCCAGUUCCUAGGGUGACCGUAUAAAAUUGGGACAGCUUUGAAUAUGAAAGAGAGCACUUUUGACGAUAAUUAUGCUGGGACAAUAGCCAUAAAUGGUUCCAGGCAAACCCAUGGUCACUCUUCCUGUUUAGCAUGUGCCAAAUUAAAACCAUCACAGCUACCACCAGGACACCUUUUCUUCCAGAAAUAAAUAUUUCUAAAUUUUCAGUCACUCAGGGUCAAAUGCUGGAGUCAUAGCUGACUUCCAUCUCUCUCCCAUAUUUAAUGUCUC